UGUGGUCUACUCUUGUCUUGAGUCCGUGGAAACUUCCCACUAAGGAGGAACAAUGGAAAGAAUUUCAGUCCAGCCUCAGUAAGGUAACAUCUCUGGCAAGUUUUGGAGGUUUAGAGAUGAGCCAUUAUGAGGUGGAGCCGUUCACCAACCCAACACACAACACAAUUAUAUGGUAUCCAAACUAGUGGCAGAUUGACUCUUUCUUUCAGGGAUCGUCAUAAGUAAGUUUCCCAUUAACUGCUGUUCGCCGUUUCGCUACAAAAGCCUUUAUACACUUCCCACCAUCAUCCAAAUGAUGACUCUGAUUGUGACGUGAUAAUAUGACAUGCUCUAUUCUCUUUGUUGUGUUGUACCUUUUAUCCUCAAAUAGAUUCACAUUAAGUAUAUUUAGAGACUUGACUUAUAUCUACGCAUGUUUUGUUGUCCCUGAGACCCUUAACCUGUGAUUACUUGAAGGUCACAGGUGAGGUCCUUGGGAACAAGGCUGCAUGCAAGUUCAUCUGGAUUUGGGGGAAUAAAAAAAAAAAUAUUAGGAGAGGGGUAAGAAUGAUGUAAUCGGGAUCAAGAAGAUGUCAUCGGAUGAACAGCCAGGAAGCACGGAAAUAUCACCACCUAAAGCACCAGUUACCCUACUGGAAAUUUGACACAAAAUAAACACAUUCUGUUUGCAAUUCUAACAUGUUCCAYCUCAUGUGAAAUUACUUGAUUACCUGUUUCCUGUGCAUUUGUAAUGUGUUUUGGAACUACAAAGGCACUCCAAACAACCUUUAAGGUGUUUAUGAAAUAAUUUUUUAUGUUACAAUUCGAUUUGUGUUACAAUAAAUGUUGUUAUUGUGAAA